GGAAACGUGCCCGAAAGCAAAGGACCUCCUUGAUAGGGAGAAUCAUAGGGGUUCAAACCCCCUCGCUUCCU
rnacentral:tRNA from 1 species